rnacentral:rRNA from 1 species
UACGUAGGGGGCAAGCGUUAUCCGGAUUUACUGGGUGUAAAGGGAGCGUAGACGGUGAUGCAAGUCAGAAGUGAAAGCCCGGGGCUCAACUCCGGGACUGCUUUUGAAACUGUGUGACUGGAGUGCAGGAGAGGUAAGCGGAAUUCCUAGUGUAGCGGUGAAAUGCGUAGAUAUUAGGAGGAACACCAGUGGCGAAGGCGGCUUUCUGGACGAAAACUGACGCUGAGGUACGAAAGCGUGGGGAGCAAACAGG